AUGGAAAACUUAAGAUAUCUUAAAAUCUAUAAUGCAUCUGACCGAAGCACAUGCAAUGUGUACUUACCCGAUGGUCUCGAGUGGAUUUCUGAUAAAUUGAGAGCUCACCUGACUCAUAGCAAGCUUACAAAACUAUGGGAUGGAGUUCAGAACCUUGUGAAUUUAAAGUUAAUUGUGCUUAGUUACUCCAAAGAUCUCAUUGAUAUCCCAGACUUAUCUAGGGCUACUAAUCUGGAAAGGAUUUACGAGUUUUCGGUGUCAUCGGAGGAAAUGAGAAAUUUGGACUUACACGGCACUGCUAUACAUGAAUUGUCUUCAUCGAUUUGGCGUAAUACCAAGCUUACUACUCUUGACCUAACUGAUUGUAACAAGCUUAACAUUGUUGGUAGUAUGUUAUCAAAUGAUCAUGGACUGGGGUCUGUUACAGAACUAGACCUUUCUGGGUGCACAGAAAUUGAUGCAUUAAAUCUGCAGUUCAUCCUUGAUGGCAUAAGGAAACUUGUGUCUGUAGCAGAGCUUCCGCCGUCCCUGCUAUAUUUGAAAGCCCU